rnacentral:rRNA from 1 species
UGCGUAGGCGGUUACUUAAGUAGGGUGUGAAAUGUCCCGGCUCAACCGGGGAAUGGCGCUCUAAACUGGGUGGCUUGAGUGAGAUAGAGGUGUGCGGAACUUCCGGUGGAGCGGUGAAAUGUGUUGAUAUCGGAGGGAACACCAUUGGCGAAAGCGGCACACUGGGUCUCAACUGACGCUGAGGCACGAAAGCCAGAGGAGCAAACG